ensembl:lncRNA
AUAAAACCGUUUUAGCGCUCUGUUUACGGUUGCCAAGCAACAAGGUUCGUAGAGAAAACGGAGGCGUUGGCCAUUUGCUGAAAGUUAUUCGGUGAUCACACUAGCAAACAUUAGCAAUAAAUAAAUAAAUAAAUAAAUAGAAUUUUGAUAACACUUUAGUAAAUAUGGCAAACCCUAAAGAAAAAGACCCUGUGGACAUAGUUCACCAGAAUGCUAUUCAUAUCGAGACAACAAUAAAGGAGCUGAUAUACCACUGAGUUUAACAUUAACCCCUUCAAGAAACGUGAGAGCAGAGCUUCACUUGAAGUACAGUAUGUAUGUCUCUGUAUUUGGCUAAAUAUGCAAAAGAGCCUCUUUGAGUGUUUUUUUUUUUUUUUUUUUUUAGUGCACAUUCUGACUGUCAAGCCAAUGUCCAACAUCACCUACAGAAAAGAAGAGGACCGUAAGUAUUUCCACCACGUUUGAUUUAAUACAAUUCAUAGUUUCUGGCAAAAUACCUUAGUUAGAACAUUUGUUAAAUCCACAAAAUAUGUUAAAUUCAUAUGUUAAAUGUUUUCAUUUUUAAUUAGUUGUUUUGAUGAUAGUGGUGGUAAAGUGAUUAUUAUUACCAUUAACUGUAUUUACUGUUUGGGUGUCUGGGUUUAAUGGUUGUAUAAAUGUAAUAUAUUGCACUAUGUGUAAAGUGUAAUGAUAAAAUAUUUUUGUACAGCUGCUUUCAUCCAAGCCAUACACAGGGCCUGUCUGGAGCCCACAAAAAAGUACUCUCACCCUCAGACUGAAGCUAUAGGAGCGACAGGAUGGUUAUCCAGUCCUUUACUCCUGGCCGACCAAGGAUCCAGAUCCUUGCCAAUGGGCCGCAUCCAUGCCCACAAGACAAUUGCCCCUUCGGGCUAUACGCCGAGGACCUCUUUUCGAUGCAGUCCAGGGGCUAGGGCUUGAGGAGAGCAUCCUCAUUCACCUGUUUUUAGUAGGCCUGGACGUGCCCGUCAUUUGGGUGGAGCUGGGGGAGCUAUAUGCGUGGUCCUAUUGGGAGAUGGUCGACCACAUCAUCAUUUAAAGGAGAUGAAACUGCUGGAGGGUGCCCCCCUCCCAGUCUGGGCUGCUGUACCAUAACCACCUCAGGUCGUGCACAACAACAACAACAACAACUUCCAGGUUGUUGGGGUCAUUG